GGGGAGUGGCCCCGGGGCUCAGGCCGCCCCCCCACCUCCCUCCCAGCGCCCCAGCGACUCACCCCACAGAGCCAUGAAGAUGGCAAAGAGCACGGUGCCCUCGUUGUCGAAGAGGGAGAAGCCGCUCAGGAAGAUGACGAGGCCGGCCACCGCAGCGGGCACCAGCAUGUAUGUGUACCAGCCCAGCCAGGCGAAGUACAGGGCCACCUUCUCGCCAAAGUAGUCCCUGUGGGGAGGCUGCCCCGUCAGGCCGCCCCUCCCCACCCCCGGAUGUGACCCCACAGGCCAGUGCUGGGGUCCAGGUGCCACAUGGGGAGACCAGACUGCUGUGUCCCACCCAGGAGCACAGACACAACUGUCUGCCGUGGACACGGGUGUGUCUGGGGAUCUUGGGCGUGUCGGUGGGCACAUGCAUGUGUCUGUGGGGCCACGGGUGUGUCUGGGGGGGCGCAGGUGAUUUGUCUGAGGCAGUGUCACCUGAUGUCAUCAAUCGGCUGCUUGUGCACCAUGUUUCUCCACCGGGCCCAUUUCUUCUUCAGGUCGUCCUCCCCCUGGGCACAGGUGACAGACAGCGAGGGCUCCCUGCCUCCAGUCCCACCCUCAGGACUUCUCCCAGCCCUGGCCCACCCCUCACCUUGUGCAGGGCGAAUCUGGUCUCAAAGACCCCAUUCUUCACCAAAUCCUCUAACGUGUCUGGAGGUCACAGGGAGUGUCAGACAGACGCGGACACCGAGUCACGGAGCCCGGCCCCUGGGACCUCUGGCACGAGACCACGCCUGGAAUCCUGACCGGACCAGGUCCACGGCGUUCUGGGCCAGCCUCUCACCUGGUGGCGGCUGGGAUGGGGGCUGGCCUGGCAGGCUGCACUCUGGCGGCAGGACCCUCAGGCUCCAUGAGGAGCGUGCGGCACGAGGCCCCAGCCGUGUCUCCGGGCCCCCGGGACACACUUGUCCCCUGUGCCCCACACCAAGCCAGGCGCUCAGCCAGCACACCUUGUAAUGGAAGCCCUUUGUCCUGAGCUCCUCCAGGAACCGUCGCUGCCGGCAGGCCUGCCUGGGGUUUCUCUGGGUGCGGCGGUCAGCCACGAGGACGUAAUCCCACUGCUCGGAGGCCUCGGUCUGGAGGGUGAUGAAGCAGCUCCUCAAACAGCUCCUCAAAUCCUUGAGAAAAGACAAGCAGCAGAGAGGGGUUUCGCAGAAGAGGAAGACGCGGGAACUCUAGACGGCCAGGGAAACACGGGUCAGGUCACCGGAGGCAUCCCCUCUACCCACUGGGUUACGGGCGUUUCAGUGGCCCGACCGCCUCGAACAGAUUCCCCGCGCACGAAUUGCGAAACAAAGCUGAACAUCCUAGACUGUACAGCCGGGCCACCUACCCCUGCACAGGAUGGUUCCGGUAGCAUAUUGCAUACAGGAAUUGUGGCGAUAGCCCGAGUUCCCACCAGCAGGUGGCUGGAUGAAGUUAUCCCACGCACGGUGGACAAUCACGCAGCAGAGACGUGAACGGGCUGCGACACACGGAGCCCUGGGGACCAACGUGACACGGCUCUGAGCUCAGACAAAGUCGAUGAGAAGCCCCAGAGGUACGUGCUGCAGGCACGUCCAGACGGACGGAUCAUAAGUCAGGGGCAGAACCUCAAGGAGGAGGCGGACGAGUGCACAGCCCCCGGGGCCCCUCCUGGGCCCCCGUUACUGUGGCGGCAUUUAUGGACAGCACGGGGCCUUCUCUCUCCCUCCCUCGGUGCUCCCCCUUGUGAGUGUGCUCCAGCCUUCCCGGCCGAGAAAGGACGCGUGGGAAGGGGAAGGAGAGGAGCCCAGCGGCGGCCCCCACCCUACAUGAUGAAGGUCUAGGUCACAGUGGUAUGGGUUAGCUGUUAGGGACCCCCCCCCCCACAAAACGCGGAGUCCUGGGUCAGCUUGAGAAAACAGCAGACUUUCUCCAGAGCCUGAGCAGACUCAAAGCCGGAUGGCCAGGGACAAGGAGGGAGAGAGGGAACGUCACAGACGGGAGGUGCCCAAGGAGACGUGAGGAUAAGUGCCACGUGGGAUCCUGCAAGGACCCGGGAACAGGAAGGACGCAAGUGGGGCAGCUGGUGACAUCGGAGUGCAGGUGCCCGUGUCGGGCUCUAGGCUCUGGCCAGAUCCUCAGCCACGGGGCUGUGGCAUCGGGGCAGCAGGGCGAGGGGCGCUGAGAAGCCUCGUGCUGUCUCUAUACCCCUCAGGAAUCUUUACAGAGGCGCUAAACGUGCACAGGUGGGGAGGGGGCGGGCUCAGGCCUCACUCCUCAUGAGCAGACGGACAGCAGGCCGCGAGGCAGACCUGGGCCCUUUCGCCGCGGGGCCGGGCAGCCGAGGGAGUGGAGGUGCGGGAGGCGGGCGACGAGGGCAGACAGUCACAGUGGGUCCCAAGGGGGGAGCUCCAGGCUGAGAUGUGGAGGGGACCUUGGCCUUGGAGCCCAGGGCCUGGGUUGCCAACCCUGUGCGCCCUCAGGCAAGACUGCCCACCUCUUCCGGCCUGGCCGCAGGACGCGCCCUGCACCCCAGUGUGGCGCUAAGCGUGCUUCCCAGCCGGCAGCUCUCCGGGGAGGCGCAGGGACCCUGCAGCGUCCCAGGGAUGAGGGUGCGGGGGACGCCCUGGGGGCUGGGCCCACAGAGCACCCACCUCGCUCCUGCUGGGCUCUUGCCAUGGCCUCCUGCCAGCCCACCACCCCUGCCGCCCUUCUCCUGGCUUACGAGCUCAGUGUGGGCCGUGGCCGUCUGGCACCACAUCACACCCUCCUCUCUAUCCUGCCCGCUGCCAGGCCUCCUUCCCCCUGCUGGUCCGCCCACCUCCUACCCCUUCCCUGCCACAACCACUUUCCACCCAGCUCAAGACCUGCCUCCUUCAGAAAGCCUCCCUGGACUGCUCCAGCCGGUCCGCCCUGAAGGGCUGUCAGGAAGAAUGCAGGCUGCCCAGUCCCAGUUGAAUCCGAGACAGACAACAGAUGCUUUGUAGUAUAAGUAUGUCCCAGUUACUGCAUGGGACACACUUAUACCUAAAAAGAAAG